rnacentral:rRNA from 1 species
UACGUAGGGGGCAAGCGUUAUCCGGAUUUACUGGGUGUAAAGGGAGCUAGGUGUUUAGACAAGUCAGAAGUGAAAGCCCGCGGCUCAACUGCGGGACUGCUCUUGAAACUGCCAGACUGGAGUGCAGGAGAGGUAAGCGGAAUUCCUAGUGUAGCGGUGAAAUGCGUAGAUAUUAGGAGGAACACCGGUGGCGAAGGCGGCUUACUGGACUGUAACUGACACUGAGGCUCGAAAGCGUGGGGAGCAAACA